CCUACGGGAUGCUGCAGUGAGGAAUAUUGGUCAAUGGACGAGAGUCUGAACCAGCCAAGUAGCGUGAAGGAUGACUGCCCUAUGGGUUGUAAACUUCUUUUAUAUGGGAAUAAAAUGUUCCACGUGUGGGAUUUUGUAUGUACCAUAUGAAUAAGGAUCGGCUAACUCCGUGCCAGCAGCCGCGGUAAUACGGAGGAUCCGAGCGUUCUCCGGAUUUAUUGGGUUUAAAGGGAGCGUAGGUGGAUUGUUAAGUCAGUUGUGAAAGUUUGCGGCUCAACCGUAAAAUUGCAGUUGAAACUGGCAGUCUUGAGUACAGUAGAGGUGGGCGGAAUUCGUGGUGUAGCGGUGAAAUGCUUAGAUAUCACGAAGAACUCCGAUUGCGAAGGCAGUUCACUGGACUGCAACUGACACUGAGGCUCGAAAGUGUGGGUAUCAAACAGGAUUAGAUACCCGGGUAGUC
rnacentral:rRNA from 1 species